UAGAUGCGAGAGUAGAGCAUAUCAAUAAGCGGAGGAAAAGAAACUAACAAGGAUUCCCUUAGUAACGGCGAGUGAAGCGGGAAGAGCUCAAAUUUGAAAUCUUCAAGGUUUUACCUUGACGAAUUGUAGUUUAAAGAAGUGUUUUCUGUUAGAUGAGUAGCAAAAGUUCCUUGGAAUGGGACAUCAUAGAGGGUGAGAAUCCCGUAUUUGGUUAUUCAUUCUAGCUUUGUGAUACACUUUCAAAGAGUCGGAUUGUUUGGGAAUGCAGUCCAAAAUGGGUGGUAAAUUUCAUCUAAAGCUAAAUAUUGGCGAGAGACCGAUAGCGAACAAGUACCGUGAGGGAAAGAUGAAAAGAACUUUGAAAAGAGAGUUAAACAGUACGUGAAACUGUCAAAAGGGAAGCGUUUGACACCAGUGUUGUUUUUCCGAAAAUCAAUUACGAAUGGCUUGAUUUUGUGUUGUAUUGACCUUAUCAGCUUUCUGCACUUUUUUUCGAGUCUUUCUUAAUGCACUUUUCGGUUAACAAGUCAACAUCAAUUUCUUUUGUUGUAAAAGAGUAUUCGGAAGGUGGCUUUCUUUUCGGAGAAAGUGUUUAUAGCCCUAUACUUCUACAAUCGGAGAGAUUGAGGUCUGCAGCGUAGAUCCUUCGGGGUUAGAUACACUUGUGCUAAGUUGUAGCUUUUCAUAGACAACUUGUUGACUAUGUUUAGUCAUGCGGCUUACUCGCUUAUGCUAUUUUACCUACGCUUAGGAUGUUGAGCGCAUGUCUCUCUCU
rnacentral:rRNA from 1 species